rnacentral:rRNA from 1 species
UCCUCUGGAGUUGUAAGCUGAAGAGGCUGUGACCGACGUGGGCCGGGUCCAAUUCCCUUGGAACAGGGAGUCAUGGAGGGUGAGAACCCCGUCUGUGACUCGGAUCCCAUCGUCCUAGUGUCGCGGUCUCCAAGAGUCGGGUUGUUUGGGAAUGCAGCUCAAAAUGGGUGGUAAAUCUCAUCUAAAGCUAAAUAUUGGCGAGAGACCGAUAGCAAACAAGUAGAGUGAUCGAAAGAUGAAAAGCACUUUGAAAAGAGAGUGAAACAGUACGUGAAAUUGUUGAAAGGGAAGCGUUUGGCAUCAGCCCAUGGCCUCCGACGAUCAUCCGGGCCUCGUGUCCGGUGCACUUGUCGGGGGUCGGGCCAGCAUCGGCUUCGUCCGUCGGAGAAAGGUCCAGAGGAUGUGGCUCCCUCACGGGAGCGUUAUAACUCUGGGCGUCAUACGACGUGACGGGGCCGAGGUCCACGGUGUUCUCACCCAGGAUGCUGGCGUAAUGGUUCCAAGCGACCCGUCUUGAAACACGGACCAAGGAGUCUAACAUCUAUGCGAGUGU